rnacentral:lncRNA from 12 species
GUGGAGGCCGUUACCUGUGAUACACUGGGGACACCCGGGAGGUAGAGUCACGGACCACAGUGGGUGAAUGAGCUGUUGAAGUAAAGUCUGCAGUGAAGAACAGGGACUUCAUCGAGCUGUGUCCCCAGAUCGUCCCCCCAGCCCCAAUUUGGAAGCUGGUGUAGAGGGGCUCCCGGGUGGCUCGGUGGAUUAAGUGUCUGCCUUCAGCUCAAGUCAUGACCUCAGGGUCCUGGGGUCGAGCCCCAUGUUGGGCUCCCUGCUCGUGGAGAAUCUGCUUCUCCCUCUGCCUCUGCCCCUAGCCCCUGCUGGUGCUCCCUACCAUGCACCUUCUGUCAAGUAAGUAAGUAAAAUCUUAUAAAAAGCAGAAAGGAAAGGAAAGGAAAGGAAAGGAAAGGAAAGGAAAGGAAAGGAAAGGAAAGGAAAAAGGAAAGGAAAAAGGAAAGGAAAGGAAAGGAAAGGAAAGGAAAGGAAGAAAAAAGGAAAGAAAGAAAAGAAAGGAAAGGACAAAAAAAGACAGAAAAGAAAAGGAAAAGAAAGGAAGAAAAAAGGAAGGAAUGGAAAGGAAGGGAAGAAAAAAGGAAAGAAAGAAAAGAAAGUAAAGGACAAAAAGGACAGGAAAAGAAAGGAAAAGAAAGGAAGAAAAAAGGAAAGGAAGGAAAGGAAAGGAAGGGGAGGGGAGGGGAGGGGAGGGAGGCAGCGGAGCGUGUCGCAGCUGGGCAGAGACCGGGAGGGUCACGGUGUGCGGCCGCAGUGGUUUGAGCCGAGCGCACGGCCGGGUCGUGCCCAGCGAGCCCCGGGGCAGCAAACAUGAUGCCUGGCAGGUGUCCCCUCCUGACUGUGCCUCCAGCUGGCGGGGCCGUGGCUCUCAGCCGCUGCCUGCGACUGGCCUCACGCGGGUGUCCCUCCCUAGCCCUGCCGUCCCCCGGCCUCCCUGACGCUCCCGCCACCUUCCUGGCCUCCGCCCAGGUCAGCAGGUGCGCGGCCGGCCGGGGCCAGGGUGCUGGGUCGCGGUCCUUGUCGCCGGAUCCCCCGGCCACACAGUUUCACUCAAAUGCAGCCGCGGCCUGGGAGCGUCGUGUUGAUAGAACUGCACCGGCUUCCUCCUCAGACAUGCUGACUAACUCGGGGCCUUGCGGUCUGCGACCACGGGGCAGAACAAGGCAAUCGAUGCACAAAUACAGAUUGAAAAGGAGAAGAGUAACUUCUGUUUCAACAAUCUCCUCAGGUGUCCAAUUUUCCAAUUUUUGUGGAUAUGACUUGGCGCACAGUGUACCUGACCCAGC